UAGUGUUUUGUGAGCAUACCAUUUUAUUGGAUACUGUAAUGAGUCUACUUCAAUUGGUUCAUUUACUUUCCGCCGACCACGCGCUUUCUCUCGGUUCUGUCCGCCGGGUAACAGUGCCAUUUUU
ensembl:ncRNA C14F11.25 ncRNA